rnacentral:precursor_RNA from 10 species
GACAUGCUGUAGAACAUGAGAUUUAGGCCAUAUUUUUCUCAUUACCACAACACUGUGUAUGUACAUUAUACUCUAUAUGGGUUAGGUAUUGGGGUAAUGGUCAAAUCUGGUCUUAAAUCCCAGCUCUUCAAAAAGGUAU